UACGUAGGGUCCGAGCGUUGUCCGGAAUUAUUGGGCGUAAAGAGCUCGUAGGCGGUUUGUCGCGUCUGCUGUGAAAUCCCGAGGCUCAACCUCGGGCCUGCAGUGGGUACGGGCAGACUGGAGUGCGGCAGGGGAGACUGGAAUUCCUGGUGUAGCGGUGAAAUGCGCAGAUAUCAGGAGGAACACCGGUGGCGAAGGCGGGUCUCUGGGCCGAUACUGACGCUGAGGAGCGAAAGCGUGGGGAGCGAACAGG
rnacentral:rRNA from 1 species